AUGACAACGAACCUCGCGGAAACAUACAACUUUGUCCUCAGAGGAAACCGGGCAUUGCCACUUACAACCAUCGUUGAGGGUAUUUUCUAUGGCACCGUCAAGUAUUUCAGAGACAGACGUCAAAUAGCAGAGCAACAUAUCUUGAACAACCCAAAUACACGGUACUGUGAAAGAGUCACGAAGUACAUGGACAACAAGAUGCAAAAAGCUAGGUCACACACUGUAGUCGCCAUCGGUAAUCAAGAAAGAAGGUUUGAGGUCCGCUUAGCCAACAACAAAUUCGGAUGUGCAAAUGAGUUGAGGACGCAUGAGGUGAAAAUUGGCAAUGAAGCCUGGCCAACGUGUGAGUGCACAUGCAAUAAACCGAAAUUGCUUCACCUACCUUGCUCACAUGUACUUGCUGCUUGCGGGCAGCUUGGAAUGGACGCAAUAUCGUUUGUGUCUCCAUAUUUUCAGAAAGAGGCUGUCCUCAAUACCUGGACAGGUGAGCUGAUGGGUUUUCGAUCAAUGGGUAAUUUCAACAGCGUCAACCCCGCCGAAAGGCGUUACAUUCCAAACCCAGAGCAUAUGCGUACAAGUAGAGGCAGACGGCAGUGUCAGCGCAUCCGAAAUGAUAUGGAUGAAUCUGAAGCAGGAGGUCCGACUAGGCAAUGCAUUCUAUGCAAUGAAUUUGGCCAUAGGGACACGAAUUGUCCCACUUUCGUCACUGGGCGUGGACGAGGCAACCGGGGAAGAAGAGGAGGUAGAGGUAGUAGAGGAGUAAGGGCGAGAGGAAGAAGCUAA
rnacentral:rRNA from 1 species